AUUGAACGCUGGCGGCAGGCCUAACACAUGCAAGUCGAACGGUAACAGGAAACAGCUUGCUGUUUCGCUGACGAGUGGCGGACGGGUGAGUAAUGUCUGGGAAACUGCCUGAUGGAGGGGGAUAACUACUGGAAACGGUAGCUAAUACCGCAUAACGUCGCAAGACCAAAGAGGGGGACCUUCGGGCCUCUUGCCAUCGGAUGUGCCCAGAUGGGAUUAGCUUGUUGGUGGGGUAACGGCUCACCAAGGCGACGAUCCCUAGCUGGUCUGAGAGGAUGACCAGCCGCACUGGACCUGAGACACGGGCCAGACUCCUACGGGAGGCAGCAGUGGGGAAUAUUGCACAAUGGGCGCAAGACUGAUGCAGCCAUGCCGCGUGUAUUAAGAAGGCCUUCGGGUUGUAAAGUACUUUCAGCGGGGAGGAAGGGAGUAAAGUUAAUACCUUUGCUCAUUGACGUUACCCGCAGAAGAAGCACCGGCUAACUCCGUGCCAGCCGCCGCAGUAA
rnacentral:rRNA from 1 species